UGGGGAAUUUUGGACAAUGGGCGAAAGCCUGAUCCAGCAAUGCCGCGUGUGCGAAGAAGGCCUUCGGGUUGUAAAGCACUUUUGUCCGGAAAGAAAUCCUUGGCUCUAAUACAGUCGGGGGAUGACGGUACCGGAAGAAUAAGCACCGGCUAACUACGUGCCAGCAGCCGCGGUAAUACGUAGGGUGCAAGCGUUAAUCGGAAUUACUGGGCGUAAAGCGUGCGCAGGCGGUUUGCUAAGACCGAUGUGAAAUCCCCGGGCUCAACCUGGGAACUGCAUUGGUGACUGGCAGGCUAGAGUAUGGCAGAGGGGGGUAGAAUUCCACGUGUAGCAGUGAAAUGCGUAGAGAUGUGGAGGAAUACCGAUGGCGAAGGCAGCCCCCUGGGCCAAUACUGACGCUCAUGCACGAAAGCGUGGGGAGCAAACAGGAUUAGAUACCCUGGUAGUCCACGCCCUAAAACGAUGUCAACUAGUUGUUGGGGAUUCAUUUCCUUAGUAACGUAGCUAACGCGUGAAGUUGACCGCCUGGGGAGUACGGUCGCAAGAUUAAAACUCAAAUGAAUUGACGGGGUCAUAGCUGUUUCCU
rnacentral:rRNA from 1 species